rnacentral:rRNA from 1 species
GACGAACGCUGGCGGCGUGCUUAACACAUGCAAGUCGAACGGAAAGGCCCUGCUUUUGUGGGGUGCUCGAGUGGCGAACGGGUGAGUAACACGUGAGUAACCUGCCCUUGACUUUGGGAUAACUUCAGGAAACUGGGGCUAAUACCGGAUAGGAGCUCCUGCUGCAUGGUGGGGGUUGGAAAGUUUCGGCGGUUGGGGAUGGACUCGCGGCUUAUCAGCUUGUUGGUGGGGUAGUGGCUUACCAGGGCUUUGACGGGUAGCCGGCCUGAGAGGGUGACCGGCACCAUUGGGCUUGGGAUGGGCCCCAGCGUCUUAGGGAGGCAAGAGGUGGGAAAUUUACCCCAUGGGCGGAAGCCUGAUGCAGCAACGCCGCGUGCGGGAUGACGGCCUUCGGGUUGUAAACCGCUUUCGCCUGUGACGAAGCGUGAGUGACGGUAAUGGGUAAAGAAGCACCGGCUAACUACGUG